GACCUUCCGUAGGUGAACCUGCGGAAGGAUCAUUA
rnacentral:rRNA from 1 species